rnacentral:rRNA from 1 species
GUGGGGAAUCUUGCGCAAUGGGCGAAAGCCUGACGCAGCCAUGCCGCGUGAAUGAUGAAGGUCUUAGGAUUGUAAAAUUCUUUCACCGGGGACGAUAAUGACGGUACCCGGAGAAGAAGCUCCGGCUAACUUCGUGCCAGCAGCCGCGGUAAUACGAAGGGGGCUAGCGUUGCUCGGAAUUACUGGGCGUAAAGGGCGCGUAGGCGGACAGCUUAGUCAGAGGUGAAAGCCCAGGGCUCAACCUUGGAAUUGCCUUUGAUACUGGGUGUCUUGAGUAUGAGAGAGGUGUGUGGAACUCCGAGUGUAGAGGUGAAAUUCGUAGAUAUUCGGAAGAACACCAGUGGCGAAGGCGACACACUGGCUCAUUACUGACGCUGAGGCGCGAAAGCGUGGGGAGCAAACAGGAUUAGAAACCCCGGUAGUCC